rnacentral:ncRNA from 2 species
CAAUUAUCCAGAGUGACCGAGGGAUCAGGCCCUAUGACGUCCGGCAACCUCCAGAAAUGGAACGGUGCUAAUUCCUGCAGAAUGAUUUCAUUCUGAGAGAUAAGUC